rnacentral:misc_RNA from 1 species
AGUAAUGGUUGGCUCGAGUGUGGAAUGUGGAAACCAUGCAGAAAGCUGUCCAAAAAAAUAGCAAUGUUGACAGUAGAUGUAUCAGUGGAGAGGCAUCAAAUGGUCAUUGUGAGGGAAAUCCCUUAAAUGGAGAGCAGAUGGAGUAUGCCUGUAUGGAAUGUUCUUUAUCUGCAGAGCAAGUGGAGUCUAUUGCUACACAAUCGGCUGAACAUUGCACAGAAGAUGGGCUACUCUUCGAUGUUGUCG